rnacentral:rRNA from 1 species
GAUCAUGGCUCAGAGUGAACGCUGGCGGCGUGCCUAAUACAUGCAAGUCGAACGAUGAAGCUUUUAGCUUGCUAGAAGUGGAUUAGUGGCGCACGGGUGAGUAAUGCAUAGGUUAUGUGCCCUUUAGUCUGGGAUAGCCUACUGGAAACGGUGAUUAAUACUAGAUACUCCCUACGGGGGAAAGUUUUUCGCUAAAGGAUCAGCCUAUGUCCUAUCAGCUUGUUGGUGAGGUAAUGG